GACGAACCGUGCGAACGUUGUUCGGAAUUACUGGGCGUAAAGGGCGCGUAGGCGGACGAUUAAGUCGGGGGUGAAAGCCCAGGGCUCAACCCUGGAAAUGCCUUCGAUACUGGUCGUCUUGAGUACGGGAGAGGUGUGUGGAACUCCGAGUGUAGAGGUGAAAUUCGUAGAUAUUCGGAAGAACACCAGUGGCGAAGGCGACACACUGGCCCGUUACUGACGCUGAGGCGCGAAAGCGUGGGGAGCAAACAGG
rnacentral:rRNA from 1 species